UACGUAGGUGGCAAGCGUUAUCCGGAUUUACUGGGUGUAAAGGGUGAGUAGGCGGGUCUGCAAGUCAGGUGUGAAAUACUGCGGCUCAACCGCAGAAUUGCAUUUGAAACUACGGAUCUUGAGUGUCGGAGAGGUAAUUGGAAUUCCCAGUGUAGCGGUGAAAUGCGUAGAGAUUGGGAGGAACACCAGUGGCGAAGGCGGAUUACUGGACGACAACUGACGCUGAGACACGAAAGCGUGGGGAGCAAACAGGAUUAGAUACCCCCGUAGU
rnacentral:rRNA from 1 species